UGUCCCUAGCCCCUGAUUGCCAGAACCUGGAAAUAGGCAAUGGAAUGGAUCACUUGAUGAUUACAUGUUCUGUUCUUUCCCUCUGGGGUACCUAACAAUGGC